rnacentral:misc_RNA from 1 species
GGAAGGGGGAGCUGGUCUAAGAGGGGGAAAGAAGACUGUCUUAGGGCCCCAUGUCCACAGGACACCUCUCCCUGCUCCAGUUAUCACGUUCCCAGAGAUAACCGCUCCUGCAAUUGCGUUUGAUAUAUUGAAACCGGCUGUGAUAACAUGUGAUCGAGAAGUGACUUCGGGCGUUAAGGGUUUCCGGAAACGGGAGCAGCGAUCGAAGUGUGCUCGAAUGCGUUCUAAGGGGUUCGUCGGACAACCUCGGCGUCGCAAGACGUGACGAUAAUCAUCCCCAAGAUGGCCACGUCGCUCAUGCUGGGGAGCACCAAACAGGUGGCCAGUGACUCCUCGAAAGGGGUGACUUUGUCUUGGUGCGAUCUUUCGGUCUAUGCGACCGAUCGUGGGAACAAGAUCUGCAAUCAGCUGAUUAAGAAUGUGCGAGGCGCGGUGCAGCCUGGUGAUCUAACCGCGAUCCUGGGAGGCAGCGGCGCAGGGAAAACAUCGCUGAUGGAGGCGCUAGCGUUUCGAACCUCUCCUGGGGUGAUAGUGCACGGAGAUGUCUACGCGAAUGGACAAUCAGUGGGUUCACCAUACAUGCGGCACCAUAGUGGAUUUAUGCAGCAGGAGGACAUUUUCAUCGGCACUAUGACAGUCCUGGAACAUCUUACAUUCAUGGCGCGCAUGAAGCUGGACAGACGAACGAAGUCCUGGGAAGUCAGACAAAGGAUCGACAGGCUCCUGAGGGAAGUCGGAUUGUCCUGCAGGAGCAACACCAGGAUAGGCUCAGGAGGAGACGACAAGGUCCUGUCAGGAGGCGAAAAGAAGCGACUGGCGUUCGCUACCGAGUUGCUGACGGAUCCGAGGAUCCUGUUCCUGGACGAGCCCACCACGGGUUUGGAUGCCCAUUCCGCGAACGUUUUGGUGGGCCAGCUGACCACUGUUGCAUCCAGAGGCAGAACCGUCCUCUGUACGAUCCAUCAAGCCAGUUCGGCGAUUUUCGACACCUUCCACAGAAUCGUCCUGGUGGCCGAUGGCAGGAUCGCCUUUGCCGGCACCAGCGAACAGGCAGUCAGAUUUUUUACCAGCCUAGGGUACGAGUGCCCAAAGACGUACAACCCUGCGGACUUUUUGGUCGCCACUUUGGCGAUCACUCAUAACGACGAGGACCAUGGCAGAAGGACUACGCAAAGGAUAUGCGACGCUUUCCUCACGAGCGACGCCUGCAAGGAACUCGACGUCGUUCUGCAGCUGCAGCUGCACAUUGCGCAAUCCUAUAACUGGAGGAAGGAUCUGCGAGAGCAAGCAUCCGCGAUGGUGGUGGAGACUCUUCUGGUUGACCCAUCGAGGGUUCAAGCAGGUCCUGCGAGACCCAUCGCUGCAGUUAUUAAGGAUCCUCCAGAAGAUGUGCGUAGCCACAAUGGCAGGCCUUUGUUUCGUCGGGGCAGUCGCUCUGGACCAACCAGGAAUCCAAGCUGUCCAAGGAGUGGUCUUCAUUCUGGUGGCCGAAAAUGCAUUUUUUCCGAUGUAUGCAACCUUGGCCCUGAUCCCUCAGGAGAUCCCUCUCUUCCUAAGGGAAUACCGAGGAGGGAUGUACUCCAUCCAUCUGUACUACAUCUCAAGAAUGAUAUCUUUGGUACCAGGAUUAAUGGUAGAACCGGUGCUAUUUUCUACGGUGAUAUACUGGCUCGCAGGACUUCGAAACACGUUCAGAGCAUUCGGUUUGUCCAUGUUGGUGGUAAUCGCCACCAUGAACGUCUCCACGGCUUGCAGUUGCUUUUUCUCCGCGGCUUUCGACACGGUGCCUUUGGCGAUGGCUUAUCUGGUUCCCUUCGACUAUGUGCUGAUGAUCACCAUGGGACCUUUUACCAAACUCAGUACACUGCCGGUCUAUAUACGAUGGAUUAAAUAUAUUUCCUGGCUCCUGCACUCCACCGAGGCUCUGACCAUCCUUCAGUGGGAAGGAGUCCACAAUAUCUCCUGUCAGGCUCCUCAUCCAGAUUUGCCUUGUAUCGCCGAAGGCUCUGUAGUUUUGGACCAGUAUGACUUCGAGGCUGAUCACUUCUGGCAGGAUAUGAUGCUCAUGGGGAUCAUUU